GUAACAUAGACACCAUGGCUGCUACCAAGUGGCUACUUCUCCUUUUCUCAGUAGCCCUGUUGGGUCUGAGCUCAGCUCAAUUCACUGAUGAGGAAAACAACUUACAGCAGGAUAAUGAAAACUAUGGCAAUGAUGAAGAUGAUAAUCAACAGCCUGGUCCUCAAGAUCCCCCUGGAGAUGAUGAAUCAGGAAGUCCACAGGGAGGCCCUACAGGUGGUCCACAGGGAGGCCAUCGAGGCAGCCAGCAGGGAGGUCCUCAAGGUGGCCAGCAGGGAGGCCCUCUAGGUGGCCAAUAAGGAGGUCAACCACUCUCCUCAACACCAAGUGCAUGAAAAGGAAGAUGUGCAUUUGGGAGGUGCCCUUCAAGUCCUCAUGUGGACCCAGAUAUUGGGACAGUACAUACCUCUUGAUCUUUUCCACCCUUAUGUACAAUAUCAAUAA